UUAAGCGACUAAGCGUACACGGUGGAUGCCCUGGCAGUCAGAGGCGAUGAAGGACGUGCUAAUCUGCGAUAAGCGUCGGUAAGGUGAUAUGAACCGUUAUAACCGGCGAUUUCCGAAUGGGGAAACCCAGUGUGUUUCGACACACUAUCAUUAACUGAAUCCAUAGGUUAAUGAGGCGAACCGGGGGAACUGAAACAUCUAAGUACCCCGAGGAAAAGAAAUCAACCGAGAUUCCCCCAGUAGCGGCGAGCGAACGGGGAGCAGCCCAGAGCCUGAAUCAGUGUGUGUGUUAGUGGAAGCGUCUGGAAAGGCGCGCGAUACAGGGUGACAGCCCCGUACACAAAAAUGCACAUGCUGUGAGCUCGAUGAGUAGGGCGGGACACGUGGUAUCCUGUCUGAAUAUGGGGGGACCAUCCUCCAAGGCUAAAUACUCCUGACUGACCGAUAGUGAACCAGUACCGUGAGGGAAAGGCGAAAAGAACCCCGGCGAGGGGAGUGAAAAAGAACCUGAAACCGUGUACGUACAAGCAGUGGGAGCACGCUUAGGCGUGUGACUGCGUACCUUUUGUAUAAUGGGUCAGCGACUUAUAUUCUGUAGCAAGGUUAACCGAAUAGGGGAGCCGAAGGGAAACCGAGUCUUAACUGGGCGUUAAGUUGCAGGGUAUAGACCCGAAACCCGGUGAUCUAGCCAUGGGCAGGUUGAAGGUUGGGUAACACUAACUGGAGGACCGAACCGACUAAUGUUGAAAAAUUAGCGGAUGACUUGUGGCUGGGGGUGAAAGGCCAAUCAAACCGGGAGAUAGCUGGUUCUCCCCGAAAGCUAUUUAGGUAGCGCCUCGUGAAUUCAUCUCCGGGGGUAGAGCACUGUUUCGGCAAGGGGGUCAUCCCGACUUACCAACCCGAUGCAAACUGCGAAUACCGGAGAAUGUUAUCACGGGAGACACACGGCGGGUGCUAACGUCCGUCGUGAAGAGGGAAACAACCCAGACCGCCAGCUAAGGUCCCAAAGUCAUGGUUAAGUGGGAAACGAUGUGGGAAGGCCCAGACAGCCAGGAUGUUGGCUUAGAAGCAGCCAUCAUUUAAAGAAAGCGUAAUAGCUCACUGGUCGAGUCGGCCUGCGCGGAAGAUGUAACGGGGCUAAACCAUGCACCGAAGCUGCGGCAGCGACACUAUGUGUUGUUGGGUAGGGGAGCGUUCUGUAAGCCUGUGAAGGUGUACUGUGAGGUAUGCUGGAGGUAUCAGAAGUGCGAAUGCUGACAUAAGUAACGAUAAAGCGGGUGAAAAGCCCGCUCGCCGGAAGACCAAGGGUUCCUGUCCAACGUUAAUCGGGGCAGGGUGAGUCGACCCCUAAGGCGAGGCCGAAAGGCGUAGUCGAUGGGAAACAGGUUAAUAUUCCUGUACUUGGUGUUACUGCGAAGGGGGGACGGAGAAGGCUAUGUUGGCCGGGCGACGGUUGUCCCGGUUUAAGCGUGUAGGCUGGUUUUCCAGGCAAAUCCGGAAAAUCAAGGCUGAGGCGUGAUGACGAGGCACUACGGUGCUGAAGCAACAAAUGCCCUGCUUCCAGGAAAAGCCUCUAAGCAUCAGGUAACAUCAAAUCGUACCCCAAACCGACACAGGUGGUCAGGUAGAGAAUACCAAGGCGCUUGAGAGAACUCGGGUGAAGGAACUAGGCAAAAUGGUGCCGUAACUUCGGGAGAAGGCACGCUGAUAUGUAGGUGAAGUCCCUUGCGGAUGGAGCUGAAAUCAGUCGAAGAUACCAGCUGGCUGCAACUGUUUAUUAAAAACACAGCACUGUGCAAACACGAAAGUGGACGUAUACGGUGUGACGCCUGCCCGGUGCCGGAAGGUUAAUUGAUGGGGUUAGCCGCAAGGCGAAGCUCUUGAUCGAAGCCCCGGUAAACGGCGGCCGUAACUAUAACGGUCCUAAGGUAGCGAAAUUCCUUGUCGGGUAAGUUCCGACCUGCACGAAUGGCGUAAUGAUGGCCAGGCUGUCUCCACCCGAGACUCAGUGAAAUUGAACUCGCUGUGAAGAUGCAGUGUACCCGCGGCAAGACGGAAAGACCCCGUGAACCUUUACUAUAGCUUGACACUGAACAUUGAGCCUUGAUGUGUAGGAUAGGUGGGAGGCUUUGAAGUGUGGACGCCAGUCUGCAUGGAGCCGACCUUGAAAUACCACCCUUUAAUGUUUGAUGUUCUAACGUUGACCCGUAAUCCGGGUUGCGGACAGUGUCUGGUGGGUAGUUUGACUGGGGCGGUCUCCUCCUAAAGAGUAACGGAGGAGCACGAAGGUUGGCUAAUCCUGGUCGGACAUCAGGAGGUUAGUGCAAUGGCAUAAGCCAGCUUGACUGCGAGCGUGACGGCGCGAGCAGGUGCGAAAGCAGGUCAUAGUGAUCCGGUGGUUCUGAAUGGAAGGGCCAUCGCUCAACGGAUAAAAGGUACUCCGGGGAUAACAGGCUGAUACCGCCCAAGAGUUCAUAUCGACGGCGGUGUUUGGCACCUCGAUGUCGGCUCAUCACAUCCUGGGGCUGAAGUAGGUCCCAAGGGUAUGGCUGUUCGCCAUUUAAAGUGGUACGCGAGCUGGGUUUAGAACGUCGUGAGACAGUUCGGUCCCUAUCUGCCGUGGGCGCUGGAGAACUGAGGGGGGGCUGCUCCUAGUACGAGAGGACCGGAGUGGACGCAUCACUGGUGUUCGGGUUGUCAUGCCAAUGGCACUGCCCGGUAGCUAAAUGCGGAAGAGAUAAGUGCUGAAAGCAUCUAAGCACGAAACUUGCCCCGAGAUGAGUUCUCCCUGACUCCUUGAGAGUCCUGAAGGAACGUUGAAGACGACGACGUUGAUAGGCCGGGUGUGUAAGCGCAGCGAUGCGUUGAGCUAACCGGUACUAAUGAACCGUGAGGCUUAACCUU
rnacentral:rRNA from 1 species